rnacentral:rRNA from 1 species
CAAUAGCGUAUAUUAAAGUUGUUGCGGUUAAAAGCUCGUAGUUGGAUUUCUGCUGAGGACGACCGGUCCGCCUCUGGGUGAGUAUCUGGCUUGGCCUUGGCAUCUUCUUGGAGAACGUAGCUGCACUUGACUGUGUGGUGCGGUAUCCAGGACUUUUACUUUUGAGGAAAUUAGAGUGUUUCAAGCAGGCGUAAGCUUUCGAAUACAUUAGCAUGGAAUAAUAAAAUACGACUCGCGUGGUCUAUUUUGUUGGUUUGCACACGCAAGUAAUGAUUAAUAGGGACAGUUGGGGAUAUUCAUAUUUGAGCGUCAGAGGUGAAAUUCUUGGAUCGCUGAAAGAUGAGCUUAGGCGAAAAGCAUUUAUCAAAGAUGUUUCAUUAUUCAAGAACGAAAGUUAGGGG